rnacentral:rRNA from 1 species
AACGAACGCUGGCGGCAUGCCUAACACAUGCAAGUCGAACGAGACCAUCGGGUUUGCUGGCGCACGCGUGCGUAACGCGUGGGAUCCUGCCCUUAGGUCCGCCAUAACUCCCCGAAAGGGGUGCUAAUACCGGCUAAUGUCUUCCGACCAUAGAUUGAUCGCCUUUGGAUGGGCUUGCGUGGGAUUAGCUAGUUAGUAGCGUAAAAGCCUACCACGGCGACGUUCCAUAGAUGGUCUGAGAGGAUGAGCAGCCACACUGGGACUGAGACACGGCCCAGACUCCUAGGGGAGGGAGGAGAGGGGAAUAUUGGACAGUGGGGGAAGGCAUGAUCCAGCAAUGCCGGGUGAGUGAUGAAGGCCUGAGGGUUGUAAAGCUCUUUUACCCGGGACGAUAAUGACAGUACCGGGAGAAUAAGCACCGGCUAACUCCGUG